GACGAACGCUGGCGGCGUGCUUAACACAUGCAAGUCGAACGGAAAGGCCCUGCUUUUGUGGGGUGCUCGAGUGGCGAACGGGUGAGUAACACGUGAGUAACCUGCCCUUGACUUUGGGAUAACUUCAGGAAACUGGGGCUAAUACCGGAUAGGAGCUCCUGCUGCAUGGUGGGGGUUGGAAAGUUUCGGCGGUUGGGGAUGGACUCGCGGCUUAUCAGCUUGUUGGUGGGGUUGUGGCUUACCAAGGCUUUGACGGGUAGCCGGCCUGAGAGGGUGACCGGCCACAUUGGGACUGAGAUACGGCCCAGACUCCUACGGGAGGCAGCAGUGGGGAAUAUUGCACAAUGGGCGGAAGCCUGAUGCAGCAACGCCGCGUGCGGGAUGACGGCCUUCGGGUUGUAAACCGCUUUCGCCUGUGACGAAGCGUGAGUGACGGUAAUGAGUAAAGAAGCACCGGCUAACUACGUG
rnacentral:rRNA from 1 species